rnacentral:tRNA from 1 species
GGCUCAGUGGUCUAGUGGUAUGAUUCUCGCUUUGGGUGCGAGAGGCCAUGGGUUGGAUUCCCGUCUGAGCCC